UACGAAGGGGGCUAGCGUUGCUCGGAAUCACUGGGCGUAAAGGGUGCGUAGGCGGGUUUUUAAGUCAGGGGUGAAAUCCUGGAGCUCAACUCCAGAACUGCCUUUGAUACUGAAGAUCUUGAGUCCGGGAGAGGUGAGUGGAACUGCGAGUGUAGAGGUGAAAUUCGUAGAUAUUCGCAAGAACACCAGUGGCGAAGGCGGCUCACUGGCCCGAUACUGACGCUGAGGUGCGAAAGCGUGGGGAGCAAACAGG
rnacentral:rRNA from 1 species